rnacentral:rRNA from 1 species
GAUGAACGCUGGCGGCGUGCUUAACACAUGCAAGUCGAACGGAAAGGUCCUGCUUUUGUGCGGUGCUCGAGUGGCGAACGGGUGAGUAACACGUGAGUAACCUGCACUUGUCUUUGGGAUAACUUUUGGAAACUGGGGCUAAUACCGGAUAGGAGCUACUGCUGCAUGGUGGGGGUUGGUAAGAUUCGGCGGUUGGGGAUGGUCUCGAGGCUUAUCAGCUUGUUGGUGGGGUAGUGGCUUACCAAGGCUGUGACGGGUAGCCGGCCUGAGAGGGUUAACGGCCACAUUGGGACUGCGAUACGGCCCAGACUCCUACGGGAGGCAGCGGUGGAGAAUAUUGCACAAUGGGCGGAAGCCUGAUGCAGCAACGCCGCGUGCGGGAUGACGGCCUUCGGGUUGUAAACCACUUUCGCCUGAGACGAAGCGGUAGUGACGGUAACUGGUAAAGAAGCACCGGCUAACUACGUG